AUUGAACGCUGGCGGCAGGCCUAACACAUGCAAGUCGAGCGAGCGGCGGACGGGUGAGUAAUGUCUGUGGAUCUGACUGAUGGCGAGGGAUCACUACUGGAAACGGUAGCUAAUACCGCAUACCAUCAGAUGAACCCAUAUGGGAUUUGCUAGUAUGUAAGGUAAAGGCUGACCAAGGCGACGAUUCCUAGCUGGUCUGAGAGGAUGAUCAGCCACACUGGAACUGAGACACGGUCCAGACUCCUACGGGAGGCAGCAGUGGGGAAUAUUGCACAAUGGGCGCAAGCAUGAUGCAGCCAUGCCGCGUGUAUGAAGAAGGCCUUCGGGUUGUAAAGUACUUUAAGUCGGGAGGCGUUACCAACAGAAGAAGCACCGGCUAACUCCGUGCCAGCAGCCGCGGUAAUUC
rnacentral:rRNA from 1 species